rnacentral:rRNA from 1 species
AUGUACAUGUUGAUUGUUAUGAAAUCAUGGGAUGGAAUCUUGAUCUCCGGUGUCCAGAAAUCUAUUUUCUCAGAGAAAAAAUCGAUGCGAGUUUAUAUUGCUGAUGUUUCGUCACGCACCUUAAUUUCUUCUUCGGAUUAUGAAAUAUUUAGGUUAACAAGAUGCCAUGUAAGUUGGGUUGAGAUCUGCUAUACAGUGACUUUCUUUUGUUCAAAUAUUUCAUUUUUUUCAUUUUCAUGCUGUCGAAGUAUUUGUACUUGUGAUUUCCUGAAGUUUUGUGAAAUAUUGAAGGAUAUCUUGGAACGACAAAGUUCCCAGUCUUCAUGCUAG